UAACUUCAAUCCUGCCUGCUGCUAAGCGCGCCUGGGGCCUCUCCCUCUGGGUGCUCGGCAGGAGGAUAAAGCGCUGCCCCCUGGCUCUCCGCGACCCGGGACUUGAGCCCCCUUGCUGCGCUCUGCCCCCUCUGCCGGAGGGAGGCGGCCGGUCUCCGCUCUGGGGGCCCCUGCUCUCCGUCCGUGCGAUGGGCCCGAAGCCGGGCGGUGACGGGACGCCUCAGGGAGGGGCCCCGUGGGUCGGCUUCGCCUCCGUGACCCCAAGGGGACGAGGCCGGGUCCUGGCCCUGCGCCCCCCACCCCCUGGGAGGCGGCGGGCAGAGGAGAGCAGGCCGCGGGGGGCGGGGGCGGGCGGCAGGACGAGGCCGCACUUCUGGUCCGAGUUCUUUCUUUUUUUAAAAUCAGCGCAGUUGAACGCCAGGCUCCGCCCUCCAUCCGGCGCCUGCCACGUGGGCCGCCCGGCAGCCGCCCCUGUCCCCCGGCCCUCCUGGGGCUGGCCCGGCGGGCUGAGGCUUCGGUUUCACUUUGCUGUCACCGGACUUCACUUUCGGGCAGAGCCACAGCGGCGGAACGAGGGGUGGAGAGAGCACGGGGCGGCCGUCAGCUGCUGGACGUCUGGACUGUUUCCAGCCCGGGCUACCGUGAAUCAUGCUGCUGUGAACGAGGGCAGGUGUUGAGGUGACCAAAACAAAGUGUUGAUGAGAGCGUGUCCGCCCACAGUGAGUGAUAUUCGGGGACCCUGCGUUUUGUGGGGUGAGGGGCACCCAGGGGAGGUGCCCUGGCACCCAGGCUCUCCAGGUCUCUGCUGGGCUCCGGGGAACCCCUUCCCUGCCCUCUAGGUUGGCCCGGCCGUGAACCCGGAAGGUCCCCGCUGAGGACACCAGAGGCUCCCGGAACCUCAGGGGCUGGCGGACACAGGGCAGGGGCCAGGCGGGCCGGAAAGCGGUCCCUUCCCUGUAAGGCAGAGGGUUGCAGGGCUAUGAGAGAGACAGAGCAUGAACGGGCGAGGGGCAGAGAGAGAGGGAGACACAGAAUCGGAAACAGGCUCC